GCAAGUCGAGGGGUAACAUUGGAGCUUGAUCCAGAUGACGACCGGCGCACGGGUGAGUAACACGUAUCGAACCUACCUUUAACUAGUGAAUAGCCUCUUGAAAGAGAGAUUAAUACACGAUAUAAUAAUAUAGUUUAGUUACUUUAUUAUGAAAGAUUUAUCGGUUAUAGAUGGGGAUGCGUCCCAUUAGAUAGUAGGCGGGGUAACGGCCCACCUAGGCUUCGAUGGGUAGGGGUUCUGAGAGGAAGGUC
rnacentral:rRNA from 1 species